rnacentral:rRNA from 1 species
AUACGGAGGAUGCGAGCGUUAUCCGGAUUUAUUGGGUUUAAAGGGUGCGUAGGCGGACGAUUAAGUCAGCUGUGAAAUGCCCGCGCUCAACGCGGGAAGUGCAGUUGAUACUGGGUGUCUUGAGUACAGUAGAGGCAGGCGGAAUUCGUGGUGUAGCGGUGAAAUGCAUAGAUAUCACUAAGAACUCCGAUUGCGAAGGCAGCCUGCUGGACUGUAACUGACGCUGAUGCUCGAAAGUGUGGGUAUCAAACAGGAUUAGAUACCCUGGUAGUCCACACAGUAAACGAUGAAUACUCGCUGUUUGCGAUAUACAGUAAGCGGCCAAGCGAAAGCGUUAAGUAUUCCACCUGGGGAGUACGCCGGCAACGGUGAAACUCAAAGGAAUUGACGGGU